UCCGCCUCGAGCGCCUCCUUCUCCCCCAUGCCCUCUGCCUCGCGCGCCUCCUCCUCCCACUCCAGCGCCGCCGCCGCCGCUACCCUCGGCCGCCUCCCUCUAUCCAGUGGUGUCGCCUCUCCUCCCCUAUACGUGCGCCGCCGCCCCUCCGCCCCCUCCUACCUGUCGCCGUCUCGCCGCUGCAGCCGUCCCCAAGGUGAGAAUGCUAUCAAGGCUAGGGUUCACCGGAAAGGAAGGAAAAAAUCCCCAUUCCCUCCGGCGUCUCUUACGCCCCCCUGCCGGCCUACUCUUCCUCUCGGAAGUAUCGUCUUCAUCCUCGACGCAGAAGGAUAGCACGGACUGCAGAGAUGCCCUGCCGCCGUGCUCCUUUUCGCCGAUCCCCUUCCACCAGAUUGGCUGAUGAGGGGAGGUCCAAUAGGUCCAUGGUGGGGAUGGAGCAACAAGGCCGGAGACCCAGGCGGCGGAUGCCUCAUGGGUAGAGGAGAGGUUGACAAUACGGACAAGGAGCAGCGGUGUCAUAUGGAUCUGCAGGGAGGCGUCUUCGAGGGAUGGCUGGUGUCAAUAUUUGUGUUGAUAUGCCCUACAUAUCGAGUUCAUCGUCCAAGCACCUUCUGCGGAAAGAAA